rnacentral:sRNA from 1 species
CGCCGACUGCAUAUACUUACUGGUGGAC